rnacentral:lncRNA from 1 species
AUUAUUCUAUCUUCUUAUACUUGUACUCAAUGAUCUUGCAUGGAUAUUAUCCUUCCUUAUCCUACUUGCAUGUGGUAUAUUGUACACUUGCGGUCCUUUUUGUGUUUGUUGCUAUAUAUGUGAUAUAUUAGAGCUGUUAGUGUAAACGGUGUGGGCUACCUUUGUGGGAUAUUUUUUUACUAUAGGUGAUGUGCCCUUAGUAUGUAUUUUGUAUGUCUUAUUUUCUGCUUUGCUCGGUUGGCCU